GAAGGGUGCAAGCGUUACUCGGAAUUACUGGGCGUAAAGCGUGCGUAGGUGGUUUGUUAAGUCUGAUGUGAAAGCCCUGGGCUCAACCUGGGAAUGGCAUUGGAUACUGGCAGGCUAGAGUGCGGUAGAGGGUAGUGGAAUUCCCGGUGUAGCAGUGAAAUGCGCAGAGAUCGGGAGGAACAUCUGUGGCGAAGGCGACUACCUGGACCAGCACUGACACUGAGGCACGAAAGCGUGGGGAGCAAACAGGAUUAGAUACCCUGGUAGUCCACGCCCUAAACGAUGCGAACUGGAUGUUGGGCUCAACUUGGAGCUCAGUAUCGAAGCUAACGCGUUAAGUUCGCCGCCUGGGGAGUACGGUCGCAAGACUG
rnacentral:rRNA from 1 species